rnacentral:lncRNA from 1 species
CUGCUCUUUCUGCCCUCGCAUCCCCCCAUGGCCUGGCUCCUGGCCAAGACCUGGGUCCGGAGCUCUGAUUUCCAGCUGCAGCAGUUACAGUCACAUCUGCUGAGGGGACACUUGAUUGCUGAGGUUAUUGCUGUGGCUACAAUGAGAAGCUUGCCUAGCCUCCAUCCUAUCUACAAGACUGAGAGAAGGGAGCAGAGUGAGAAAAGAAACAAGAGAAGGAACCUCAUUGAGGUAGGAGGAAAAUCAAAAAGUGCAAUCCAUGGCAGCCAGGAAAAGAAAGCGUUUCAAGAGGGACGCGUGAUUAUCUGUCUCAAGUGCUGCUGAGAGAUCAAGAAAGUUACAGAGAAGUGACAUUUGGAUUUCUCAAUAUGGAAGUCAUUGGUUAAUAAAUGGACAUGCGCCAUCUCAGGGAAGUGGAGGAAGCCUGAUUCAUGGGG